rnacentral:rRNA from 1 species
AUUGAACGCUGGCGGCAUGCCUUACACAUGCAAGUCGAACGGUAACGGGCCUUCGGGUGCCGACGAGUGGCGCACGGGUGAGUAAUACAUCGGAACGUACCCGAUCGUGGGGGAUAACGAGGCGAAAGCUUUGCUAAUACCGCAUACGAUCUACGGAUGAAAGCAGGGGACCGCAAGGCCUUGCGCGGACGGAGCGGCCGAUGGCAGAUUAGGUAGUUGGUGGGAUAAAAGCUUACCAAGCCGACGAUCUGUAGCUGGUCUGAGAGGAUGAUCAGCCACACUGGGACUGAGACACGGCCCAGACUCCUACGGGAGGCAGCAGUGGGGAAUUUUGGACAAUGGGCGCAAGCCUGAUCCAGCCAUGCCGCGUGCAGGAUGAAGGCCUUCGGGUUGUAAACUGCUUUUGUACGGAACGAAAAGCCUUCUUUUAAUACAGGAGGGUCAUGACGGUACCGUAAGAAUAAGCACCGGCUAACUACGUG